rnacentral:piRNA from 1 species
UUGAAGUGUCUGGAAUAUGACCGACGGC